UACGGCAGUAGUGUAUACUGUACCAGGAAGUAUAAUUUUGAUACUUAUUACAAUGCAUGAGGCAUAAACGAUGUCGGCUAACAGAUGAUUUAAUUAUGCCGAUGGUAUAGGUGCAAUGUCUAGCACUAGGCUUUCUUGUUCUUACAUGUAUGGCAAAGAAUUAUGUUAAAAUAUGCAGCGGGCAAAGAAAGGCAGUUUCGAUCUCCUUUUGUCUGGCAGUGAUAUAUAUUCUAUUGAUUAGUGACCGAAAUACCAAAGAGUCCGCCCCAGCUGAUGAUACACUGUACUUUGACGUGGUUGUCUAGAUGAUACUGUAACAUGGAUUAGACAGAUAAUUUGAGAGCCAUUUUGAAGCAUUUCUAAUUAAUGACCAUCUUUGGUAUAAAACACUUUCUGUUAUAGACUUGGGAAAAAUUUACCGAUAGGUUAUUAUUACCCCCUUCUGUGACCACCACUUCUGAAACACCCCUACCCUUUACUGAAUAUUACUGGAACUACCUCUGUAUAUCACAAUGUUUUAAAGGAUGAUGUAACAAUAUAAAAUGCAAGUACAUGUACAUAUUUGCUGCCAACAGCAGGAUCUUGUCAGAGUAGUUGGACUGUAAAUGGCAUGCACAGAUGGCGAGACCAAGAAUCAGUAACAUGGUGCUACAUAAGAUGAAGAUCAUCAAUGACCCAGACUAUAAAUCUCUACAGUAUAAUUGUGUUAGACACAGCCUGUUCAUCCAGGUUGCAGCAAACAGUACAAGACAACACAAAGUCUGAUGAAGACUCCCCUGGCAGAUCGAGAUGUGAUAAGGCGAAAAAAGUCAUCGAAUAAUCUCACAAGCAAUCGGAGUUGAGAUGUUCCAGCUGGAUUCCUUAAUACCGAUGUUAAAGAUCAGUGAACACAGGCAGGGUCUAUCAAACACUCCUGUUCAUCCUCCCUAUUUGGAUGAUGUAACAUCGUGAAUGUUCCUCUCUUUGUAUGGGUAAUUCAAUGCAUGCUGGCAUAAUGUCGGGCCGCUGGAGCAAACUGAAUGCUACGUACGGUUCGUGUUUACUUGCUGUGCAGUAGAACACGCUCUGGUUGUAUCGUGUUCAUGUGGUGGUGGAAGCCUCGUUCCGGUGCCUACUCAAGAACGUAGUUCGGAACCGUCGUCGUUAAGGGUUUGAAUUGCAGUCGCUCUGAGGCAGUGUGUGGUGUAAUUUUGAGAACAACUGAAUUUCUGCAAAUGUCAGAGAUAAAUUUCGAAAACUGGUACGCUUUGACUGGCUUUGCUGUGAACCACACGUUUUCUGACUGGGGACGCCAGAACAGCUUUCGAGAAGAGACUAAAUAGCGAUGUGGCAUUAAGUAUUGUGAAUUUUAAAAAAAUAUUUUGUAUAAUGAAUUGUUUAUUUAUCAUUUGUUUUUUAUAUUUAUAUAUUUUUAUUGAAUAAAUUAAUUUCGAUCGA